rnacentral:rRNA from 1 species
AACGAACGCUGGCGGCAUGCCUAACACAUGCAAGUCGAACGAGACCUUCGGGUCUAGUGGCGCACGGGUGCGUAACGCGUGGGAACCUGCCUUUAGGUUCGGAAUAACUCAGAGAAAUUUGAGCUAAUACCGGAUGAUGUCUUCGGACCAAAGAUUUAUCGCCUUUAGAUGGGCCCGCGUUGGAUUAGCUAGUUGGUGGGGUAAAGGCCUACCAAGGCGACGAUCCAUAGCUGGUCUGAGAGGAUGAUCAGCCACACUGGGACUGAGACACGGCCCAGACUCCUACGGGAGGCAGCAGUGGGGAAUAUUGGACAAUGGGCGAAAGCCUGAUCCAGCAAUGCCGCGUGAGUGAUGAAGGCCUUAGGGUUGUAAAGCUCUUUUAACCGAGAUGAUAAUGACAGUAGCGGGAGAAUAAGCUCCGGCUAACUCCGUG